GAUGAACGCUGGCGGCGUGCCUAACACAUGCAAGUCGAACGGAGAUUACGGACGGAUGUUUUCGGAUGGAAGACUGUAAUUCUUAGUGGCGGACGGGUGAGUAACGUGUGGGUAACCUGCCCUAUACAGGGGGAUAGCAGCUGGAAACGGCUGGUAAGACCGCAUAAGUCGGCUAGACCGCAUGGUCUUGCCGGGAAAUGAGCAAUCAGGUAUAGGAUGGGCGCGCGUCCGAUUAGCCAGUUGGUAGGGUAAAAGCCUACCAAAGCAACGAUCCGUAGCCGGACGGUGAGGUGGGACGGCCACUUUGGUAGUGAGGAACAGCCCAGACUCCUACGGGAUGCAGCAGUAGGUGAUAUUGCACAAUGGAGGAAACUCUGAUGCAGCGACGCCGGGUGAGUGAAGAAGUAUUUCGGUAUGUAAAACUCUAUCAGAGGGGAAGAUAGUGACGGUACCUGACUAAGAAGCCCGGGCUAACUACGUG
rnacentral:rRNA from 1 species